UCUGCCUUGUUCUAUAUAAAUGUUUCUUACAUGCAGGUAACAUUUAUAUAUGUAUUAGUUUGAAUAAAUCAUUUGAAUUAAGUUACAUCAUAGGCAGGAAUGUCUGACUGGAAAUAUAAACGAUGUUGUACAUAAUGCAGAUAGCUUAGGCGAAAAAGAGAUUGGUGAAAUGGAGAAUGAGGCUAACUACGGUGAAAAAAAUGAAUAUCAAAAUGUGAAUGGUACUUUGUUUAACAUCUACCUGUUUCUACAGAUACAGUACAAACGCAUUUAUAAAUGGGCUUGAUGUUUUUUU